rnacentral:tRNA from 1 species
GGCUCUGUAGCUCAGAUGGUAGAUCAGUGGGCAUGUAACCCGAAGGUCGUGGUUUCGAGUCCCACCUGAGCCA